rnacentral:sRNA from 1 species
GCUGGGCGGGGUGGCUCAUGCCUGUAAUCCCAGUGGCUCAGGAGGCUGAGGCAGAAGGAUCACAAGUUCAAAGCAAGCGUCAGAAAUGGCGAGGUGCUAAGCAACUUAGUGAGACCCUGUCUCUA